rnacentral:rRNA from 1 species
UAAGCGCAAGGCAUCAGCAUGCGUUGAUUACGUCCCUGCCCUUUGUACACACCGCCCGUCGCUAGUACCGAUUGAAUGGCUUAGUGAGGCCUC